GGUCCCUGUGCCUCCCCGGCCAGCCCAGUGUGGCCACAAGUGUUUGUUGUCUCUCUCUCUCUCUCUCUCUCUCUCUCUCUCUCUCUCUCCCCUACCUGUCUGCCUGGGCGGAGCUCUGACUGGGCUCCCGCCCUUGGCCCACGCACCUGCAGCUGAUCUCGAGUGAUUUGCAGUGGGUCUCUGGCUCUUCUUAAGGCUGGGGCUCUGAGCUAUUCGUCGCUGGAAUAUUGAGUAACCUCGGAAUCCCUUUCCCUUGGUGCCCUGGGUGUGCUUAGUUGCUGGUGUGCGGUGUUUCUGGACUCCCUCGUGUGUGAAGAGCCCCUUUUCCGGAUUCCCCUGUGCCCUGGAUCCCCCUUGCCCUCUCACCUGUAUAUAGUCGCACCUGGUGUCGUGUAUCAAUAAAAGGAACUGUAUUUUA